rnacentral:rRNA from 1 species
UAUCUAGAAACCCUUUGUAAAUUUUACUUAAUGUUGCCUCGGCGCAGGUUGGCUUCUUCGGAAGCCCCCCUCCUUCGGUGGGGAAGCAGACCGGCCGGUGGCCCCCUGAAACUAUUGUUUUUGUAAAAUCAUUUGAGUUUAAAAAAAAAAAAUGAAUCAAAACUUUCAACAACGGAUCUCUUGGUUCUGGCAUCGAUGAAGAACGCAGCGAAAUGCGAUAAGUAAUGUGAAUUGCAGAAUUCAGUGAAUCAUCGAAUCUUUGAACGCACAUUGCGCCCGGUGGUAUUCCACCGGGCAUGCCUGUUCGAGCGUCAUUAAAAUACCUCAAAGCCUAGCUUUGGUGUUGGAGGAAGGCCUGUAAAAGGGCCCCCUCCUAAAUGUAGUGGCGGGCUCGCUAGAAAUUUGAGCGUAGUAAUUUUUACGUCGUUUAUAAGGACUAGCGAGACUUCUAGCCAUA